UUUAAACCACACGCCAAAAAAACGAAAUAUGAAAAAGAAAAACGAAACCAACUUCUUCUUGUAGGAACAAAUACAAAGGGAGAUUCACAGAUUCUUAAUUAAAGAAUCUAGUUUCUCUGUUUCUGUUUCUUUGUCUCACAUUGGUCCGCGCUUCUUUCCUUCCAGCUUUUCCCAAUAGCUUGGUCGUUUUUGGAUGUUGAUGUGUGAAUUGGGGUGCAUAUUUGAGGAAAGUUGAAUUUUUCUGGUUCUUGAUCAAUAAUUACCAGUUGCAUUCUGCAAAGAACCAAGAAAGAUCUGGUGGCAUAAGGGGCAUUUGUCAAGUUUGAGUUUUAGUCGGGGCUGGACAUACUAUUACUUUGGUAAACAUGGCGGUGAUGGAGUCAAUUGCAACAACAUCUCUUCUUGGGCGUCAGCCUUUGCAUGGUAGAAUUUCUGUUAGGGAUAUUUCCUGCAAACAGAAAUCAAGUAAUUGUCAGUUCCCAGUAACAGAAUUUAUUGGUAGAAGAAUUGUUCUUUCUCAUCCUUUACCAAGAUUGAAAGUUGAUAGGUUAGUUAAUUCAUUGGUAAAGGCUCGUGCAAUAGAGCUGACAAAGGAGGUGCACGCAUAUAGAGAGGAAGAAAGAACUCAAAGGAAUCGGAACUAUGGAAUUGACACUGGUAAAGAUCGAAAACCUAAAUUUUGGCCGCCAGAGAAUAGAGCUGAUCGUCCUUCCUUACAUAACCCCUUAUUUCGUCAAGAAAGGAUGGGUUGUGGUUGGUUUGCUGCUAUAUUUGAAUGGGAAGGAGUUAUAAUUAAAGAUAACCCUGAGCUUGAGGAGCAAGCCUGGUUGGCUCUCGCUGAAGAAAAAGGCAAAUCCCCUCCUCCAGCGUUUACACUCAGAAGAAUAGAAGGGAUGAAGAAUGAGCAAGCAAUUUCUGAAAUUUUGUGCUGGUCAAGAGACCCGGCAGAAGUGAAAAGAAUGGCUGCAAGGAAGGAAGACAUGUACCAAGCUUUGCAAGGUGGGGUUUAUAGAUUUUGUGCUGGUUCUAGUGAGUUUGUGAAUGUUUUGAUGCAUUACAAAAUACCAAUGGCUUUGGUCUCUACUCGUCCAAGAGAAACUCUAGAGGCUGCAAUCAGAAAAAUUGGAAUUGAAGGCUGCUUCAAUGCCAUUGUGGCAGCAGAGGAUGUUUAUCGGGGAAAACCCGACCCAGCAAUGUUUCUAUAUGCUGCACAGCUUCUAAAAUUUAUAUCUGAGCGCUGCAUUGUCUUUGGGAACUCCAAUCAGACUGUUGAGGCUGCCCAUGAUGCGCGGAUGAAGUGUGUGGCUGUUGCAAACAAGCAUUGUGUGUACGAGCUUGGGGCUGCAGACCUGGUGGUAAGGCGUUUAGAUGAGCUUUCAGUUGUUGAUCUAAAGAACCUUGCUGAUAUAGAGUCAGCUGAAUUUGGGUUUGGAGAGCCAAAGUUGGUGAUGGAGACAGAGGAGGAAGAAGAUAGCCCAUCCACCUCAACAGCGGUUGAUGACAGUAUUUUCUAGUAACCCCCGAAAAUUGUACAGAUUUAAAAUGUGCUUUCUAUGAUUCUUGAUGGUUAUUGUUCCAUUUAUGUGUACAGCAACAGUAGGAACAAAAGGAAGAAGAAAAUAAUAAGGGUGGUCCGCAUUGGACAACCACAAGAUUGCCAUGGAUGUAUGGAUCAAACGAAUAGUAAUUCUGGAGCCCAACUAUCAGGGCAGAUUGUCAAAGGCUUUAACCUUCACUAACCCAAGUGCAAUGGUGGGAAAGUUGCAGCUAGCCAUCUACUUGGAGAGCAAAGCAGAGAGCCACAAUGUCCUGCCACGUUCCUAAUGGAACAUUAGCGUUGACUUUUUAGCAUAUGACUUUUGAUUACCGCAUCGAAUUGUUCAAGUUUGAAGAUCGCAAAAGGGCUACGACGCAUGGGUCUCUGUCUCUGCCCUCUUUGCUAACGACGUACAAUGAAUGUGAGCGUGUAUUUGCCGCCACAGAAGAGUGGAAGCUACAAUCUUUUACAAUCAGAAGCAGCCGAUUUGUUUUCUCGUGUGACCAAGUAACGUGCACGUAAUUACA